GUCCACGUUGCGGCGGACCAGAGCCAGAAACCUGUCAGGAUCGUGAGUGCAGCCGGCCACAGCCUCGUCGUCAUAGCGAGGAGGCCGGCGGU
rnacentral:sRNA from 1 species